CUUCCUAGAGCCUUAUUUAUUGAUAUCAUGCAUAUCUUUACACAACAUUAAUCACACUAAAUAAUCAGCAUUAAACAGUACAGAAGCUUCAGUUCUAAGAUAACUCAUUCUCCGUCACUAUAUAUAUGCGUGUGAAUCUUCAGACGACUUCAACUAAGCCAACAUAGAAACCAUUUUCUCUGUAAAAGAAUAGUAGCUUGGAAGACUUCAAGUAGCAUCAGACAAACAGAGAGAUGGCAACGACGUUUUCUUCCAUCCUGUGCAAGAUCCUUCUCGUUAUUGUAGCCAUGCUUGCCCUCCUUUGCUCUGCCUAUGCAAGAGACGCAUCAGAAUAUGGGCAGUGUUUUUCCCGGCCUGAAUGCAGCAACUACUGCAAGCAGCAAGCAUACCUCAGGGGAGGGGAGGUCAUGCCGCCCAACUUCAUGGACUGUUGCUGUCUCAUAUGAGCAUCACCGUGUAAUGUGCCAUUUUAUGUCUAAAUAAUAAAAUGCUAUAAUAAAAAUGAAAUUUAUGGAUUGCAUGCAAA